AUUUCGUCUUUGAAGACCUCACCGCUUCCCCGAGGAGGAAAAAAAAACUCUUUAGAGGGACACCGAUGGCGACUCGGGUGGCGCUCGCGACGGCUUCCUCCCUCCCUCGCUCCUCCCUACCCUCACUAGCGGCCAAGCUCGCUCCCCACCGGGGUCUCACUAGCGGCGGAGAUCAUCAUGGACCCCCAAAGGUUAACAUUUGGGAGGACCCACUGAGUCCAUCAAAAUGGAAGGAAGAGCAUUUUGUGCUUGCUAGUUUAGCUGGCUGGUUCGUGCUAGGUUAUGGAGGAUACAAGCUUUUUACUGGAAAGAAGGAAAAGAAGGAAGAGGUUGACAAUUAUGUGCGAAAUGGUGUCUCAUUAUAAAUGCAGAUACUUCUCUGAUGAGAUUGACCAGAGCUAAACAAUAAGGGAAGUUUUCUUUCUUUCUUUCUUUCUUUUUUUUCCGUUUUUUUUUUUUUUUUUUUGGUGGUUGGGGGGGUUUAGAAUAACUUUACAAUGCUGGGCUGGUGGUAUAGCUGAGAAGAGGAUGUGGGAGAAGAAGAUGUUAGUGGAAUUCAGAAUAACUUGCAUAGAGAGAGCUCGCCUUCCCUAGAAUUUGGUGUACAUAAAUUUGUAUGAACUUUUCAAAGUGGGUAUAAUAUAAUCAGAGAAUUUUGAGAUCAUCACUCCAACUAAAUGAACAUCUAUUUCUCCCCAUCGGUGAUUUUUUCGAGUAAGAUGGAAUGCUUUGGCUCUUUUUAGAGCAUAACCAGUCAGUCCUGAAAUGUGAGUUCCUAGGGACGCCACUGAUAACUGAUAACCAUUUUAUUGUAUUUAUUUAUUUUGCAGCUGUUUGGUGCCUUUUAAUCUUUUAAUACAUCUGAUGUUCUUAAUUGGUUUCAUUUUUAUUUUUUUUUCCAGAAUACUAGUAGGUGGGCACGUGUAAGUGCAUGUUCAGAAAGAAGAUAUUUAUGGCAUUAAUAAUUGUAUUGUCCGGUGGGAUGGAGUCUGGGAAGAGGUGGAUGAGUUAAAGAUAAGCAUGAGAGACAUAGUUUGAUAACUAGACCCAACUUUUAUAAUAUUUUCCAACACUUGAUACAAAAGCCGCUGGCCAAAUGGCUUUUCUUGUGGCCUCUGCUGACCAGCAGCUUUGUCUUAAUUGGUUGCCUGCGUGAGGUUGGUCAGACAGGCCUGGUUCUUUGGCUCAUAGAGAGCUGGAACUCUAAGAGUUAUGACUUCACGAAUUUGUUCUCACUUCCUCGGUUGGUUGAGCUCCAUAAUAUUCUUUUAGUAUUUUAUGUGGGUGGCCUGCUUUAUUUUCCCUUCUCCAUCAAACCACCUACUUCUUCCUCCUAUGUCUCUACCAAGUGAUUUUCUGCAGGUAGUAUGUGGAAGUAGGUGAGGAGUCUGCUUGUAAUCUGGGAAGUUGAAAGUAGCAGUUCAGUUCACAGGUGGAUGUCUUUGGGUUUGAAAUUGAUCGUGCUAUUAUAGCUGUCCCUCUGGAACAGCGGUUGUAACAGUCAGUUGGAGAAGCGGCUAGUUGCAUCUGCGCUACUGCUUUCUCUCUUCUGUGAAAGCGUGGAAAUAAAGAGUGUGCAAGGACAUGAAACCUCUGGAAGGGUUAUAAUUUUGUUCUGUUUUAUUAAGUUUUGUGGUAGGUUAUGUAGUUUGAGAGCUUUUCCUGUAAUCUCGGUGAAUACUUUUAUAUCCGAGAAACUCGUCGUUUUGUGAAUUUUAUCACUCUUGGAGAUGAUUAAUUUCACUCUUUGGCAUCUGAACAAGUCACGUUGCUUCACACAGAAAUCAAAUUUUGUUACAUCUUGCCAA